rnacentral:rRNA from 1 species
UCUGAAUCUGCGAACGGCUCCGCAAACCAGUUGUAAACCAAAGCAAGCAUACUCGGGGACUGCCCUUCACGGGGUGGGCUUCGGGUGAUACGGAUAACCCUGGUAAUUCUGAGGCUAAUACGAGACUAUAAUCCCUGGCGGACCGGGCAACUGGGAAGCUGGGGGGCGUGCGAUCUAUUUGCAAGACGAUACCAGGAGGGGGUGCACGCUCUGACCGCGAUAAAGACGGUUCCGGUAAACCUUCGGGCGAGCUGGUUCCGAGCGGCUCUUGCGAUGUGCUUCUGACCUAUCAACUAGAUGGCAGCGUAACGGACAUGCCAUGGU